rnacentral:rRNA from 1 species
UCAGGAUGAACGCUGGCGGCGUGCCUAACACAUGCAAGUCGAACGAAGCAUACGGACUGGAGAUUCGUCGAAGGAUCGUAUGACUUAGUGGCGGACGGGUGAGUAAUGUAUGAGCAACCUGCCUUUCAGAGGGGGACAACAGUUGGAAACGACUGCUAAUACCGCGUAACGUAUCGUGAGGGCAUCCUCGUGAUACCAAAGGAGCAAUCCGCUGAAAGAUGGGCUCAUAUCUGAUUAGCUUGUUGGCGGGGUAACGGCCCACCAAGGCGACGAUCAGUAGCCGGACUGAGAGGUUGAACGGCCACAUUGGGACUGAGAUACGGCCCAGACUCCUACGGGAGGCAGCAGUGGGGAAUAUUGGGCAAUGGGCGAAAGCCUCGACCCAGCAACGCCGCGUGAAGGAAGAAGGUCUUCGGAUUGUAAACUUCUUUUAUGAGGGACGAAGGACGUGACGGUACCUCAUGAAUAAGCCACGGCUAACUACGUGCCAGCCGCUGC